GAUGGAUCCCCCCUGGUAGAAUCUACCCGUGCUGCCAGGGUUGAUUUUGCAGCCAAUAGUCGGCAAGCACGCAUUCUCAGAGCAGGCGGAGUGGUCUGAAAUACCUCUGUUUGCUCAAUAUAACCUACACGAAAUUGAGAUGUUGCCGUGGAAAAUCCUGCCAGGUUCUUCUUCUUGGCACCAAGGAGCUGAACAUUACAAGCAGGCAUCUUGGCCAAUGCUGAAAGACCACCAGCUGUUCCCAUUAGCUUUGCUGCAACAGCACUCCCAACAAU
rnacentral:misc_RNA from 1 species